rnacentral:tRNA from 1 species
GGGGGUAUAGCUCAGUGGUAGAGCAUUAGACUGCAGCUCAAGAGGUCCCCGUUUCAAAUCGGGGUGCCCCUU